GUGCCACCUGAAAUGUCUACCCACCAUCCACUUGUGCCAUGCGCCACACGCGCCAAAACAUCUUCUGCUCAACUUCGUUAUUUAUCACUCCUAUAAUUUACCACUAGUAUAGUAUAGUUACGGACAUCCUAUAUAUCUCAAAGAGCAUAGAUAAAUUAAAUUACUGAUCCAUAGUAGGGCUGUUCAACUGGGCCGGAUUUUUUUCCGGCCCGGUCCGGAACCCGGAUAACCGGAUUCCGGUUCCGGAUUUCGGCCCGGAUGUAAUCCGGGCCGAAACCCACAUUAUAAAAUCCGGAUCAUUCCGGUCCGGAUCCGGUUAUACAAUCCGGGUUUCGGGUUAAAAACCCGAUACCCGGACUAUAUAUAUGAAAACCCUCGUUUCCCUUUUCAAUCGUCGAGCUCUCAGCUCUCGAUCCCUCUCUCGCCCGAAUCUCAAACCCUCUCUCUCUCUCUCUCUCUCUCUCUCUCUCCCCCCAAGCCCAAACCGCAGGCCUCUCUCUUCUCGGACCUCUCUCUACUCAGACCUCUCUCUCUCUCACGCGAAACCAGUUUGGAAACAACCCAUGUGACGCUCGAGAUCGCCAUUUCGUGAAAGCAUGGCCUGAAUGUGAAGCAUCAAGUGUAUUUUGCUGAUAGCCCUUCAACUGGGAUGGAUCCUGCUUCAAGAGAUGAAUGAGCUUUGGGUUGAAUCUAUACUCAAUUCGUUUUUAAAGUCCUAUGAUUUGUAUCGGUUGUGGAAGAAGUGCAGAAGUGCAAAAUAACUAUGC